UCAAGUUGGUUGGCGAACGCAACGCGGUGAACCUCCAGCGUGAGUGCGGAACGUUCAACACCAACUACAAUGCGCUUGUGGUAAAGCUACGGCAAGGUACAAACAGCGGACGGUGGAGAGGAAACAAAUGCGACGAUCAACACAGCAUCACAGCACACCCGCCAGACAGUGAUACCUGAUCGUGCGGCGCUGAAAGAGGUGACGAAAAGCUGCGGCGAUCGAAUUGCGUCAGAAGAUGGCUGAAACGCAACAGUAGGCCGAAACGUCACGCAAAGUGUCACGAAUCCUGACGAUGUUGAUGAUGCUUUUACGGAAAAACUAGAUACCUAACCAUAAUCCUAACCAUUAUGGAGAAACUAGAUCCCUAACCAUAAUCCAAUGUUGUGGGCCAACCGACGUACCGAGCUACAGGACAAGGAGAACAUUUAUCGUCAACUAACUGCCAUCGUGGAUAGGGUUCCAAAAGGCGACUUCGGGUCCGACAACACGAACUACGAGCGCGUCAUGGGACACCGUGAUUUCGGAGAAAUGAGCGAGAAUGGCUAGCUAUUCGCAAAGCUUUGUGGUUACAACGACUUGGUCAUCUUCGCUCUUUCCUCAUCGACCAAUACACGAAGUCACGUGGUUAUCCCUUGAUGGACGUACCGAGAUCGACCACAUCUGCAAUAGACGAAAAUGGAGACGGAGCUUUCAUGAUGUCCAAAAUAAACGUAACACCGACAUCGCAUCUGAUCAUCAUUCAAACGGCGAUAUAACACAAGCCGACCGGAAGAUCCAUCUGUGAAGAGAUCGCUCGUUGGCAAACUGAAGAUCAGAGCAGGGGACAUUCCAGACAUUGACAACGCCUUUUUCGAGACAAGAAUAAUCUAAGUCUCGACUACUAUGUGAUAAGGUCGUAUGUCUAAACGUAAACAAAACGAGUGAGAGUCAUAUCUCUUAUACUUUACUAGCACAAAUCAUCUCUCACUCGUUUUGUAUACGUUUAGACAUACGACCUUAUCACAAAGUAGUCGAGAAGUCAGGUGCGCACCCUGAGGAAAGAGUGGAUCGCAGAUGGAUGAUGAUGGAACCUGAUGGACAAUAGAGGAGCAGAGAGAAGCAAAAGCCGCAAUAGAAGAGGCAGAAACCCGAGGAGCCAAGAACGAAGCGCGUUAGCGUUAUUUAGUUCUGGAGAGGAAUGUUAAACGCUUUUGUAGACGGGACAAGCGAGCGUGGGCGGACUCCCUGACUGAUGAAAGAGAGAGAGAGAGCCGCAACAACUGGCGGUAUACCCCUCUUCUAAGAUAUCUCACGUCGCCUGAGAGGAGCUAGGAUGAAUCCAAGAAUGCCUGUGAAAGACGCGACAGGACAGCUAUUUACCGACCAGUUGAAACGCUGGUUUAAGCACUCUGAAAAACUUUUUUCAAGUUUUGACAGCCAACCAGCCAUCAACAUCUCGACAGGAUUCGUCAGGGGUGCGACGUACCACUUACGUCACUUCCGAGCCGCUUUCACUGCAGGGGAUCGAAGCAGCAAUCCGAUGUAUGAAAACCAAUAAGGCUCGCGGGGUCGAUCGCAUAUCAGCAGGGAUGCUUAAAGCUGAUCGCAUGCUAUCCACAAGAAUACUACAGCAACUAUUCUGCAGUAUCUGGUAUACCGCGUCAUUUCCGGUUGACUGGAAGGCGUCUUAGUGAAGGUCCCCAAAAAGGGUGGUUAGACUGUAUGGGACUAUUAGGUAUCAUGCUACUGUGAAUUGUUCUUAAAGUCCUAUACAAAUUUAUCCUAAAUCGGAAACAAAGGAUCAACGCGACUCUACUACUGCAGCAGGCAGGAUUUCGUACCGAAUGAUCCUGGGUGGACCAUAUUGUCAUGCUCCGCAUUAUACUAGAGUAGGACCAGGGUUAUGAAAAUGACUGCGAGAUAUUAACAGCAAAUUUUCAACUAAUCCGGCUCACAUUGUAUUGCACAACUCUCUCUACUCCCCACACGUUCGGUAAACAGUCCGAUAGCAACUGACGACAGCACACAUGCUACUCCAAACGGGCUGUUUUUUUUUCAUCUCCUUAUGAUUGUUGGUUCUUCCAAGCUAUCACAAAUGACAGCCUAUAAUCUUCCGACAUCCUUCAGUACGAAUCCAAGCGAUUAUGAUUCACGACAGUAAGGCCGAUGAAAGAAUGAAAGUGAGAUGGUGCGAAGCAGUGCCUUAGAAUAUCAAUGUUUAUUCAUGAGUAGAUGAAUUGAAUUAAGCUCAGUGUCAGCACAUUUAUUCUCUGAUGCAACUCAGGAACCUAUGUUCAUUGCGACGAUGCAUGAAUAUCGUUUCUAAUAUUCAAUGACAGAACAGCGGAAUGAAGAUCAAAGGACUCGUAAUGAUAUUCAAAGAAGCUUCGGUGAUUAUCAAUCCAAGUAGUGCAAAUCUGUUUAGACGCUGUACACUGCCCAGUACAGUAUAAAUGGUCGAAUAAGGUUAAUUUUAAUUUUCACUAAUUUGAUAUGAUUUUCAUUCUAGACGAUCAAAAUAUCAACACGAGUGUUAAAGUUUAUCUUGUCGGUGUUCAUCGGUUGUUUGGUAUCAUGAAUAUCAACGGUCGCAUGGGUAGUACGAUUAUCAAUAUAAAGACGGCUGAAAAUCGCUGCUUUUGAAUAUCAUGACAGUGAAUAUUCUCAGCACAGGUGCGAAGCACGUUUUCUCUUACGUGGGGAAUAAUAUCAACAAUUGAAACGGUUUGCUUUGUAUUAAAUAUGCCCUCGGACUGUGAAAAAGAUGAAACGAAAAAAUGCGAGUCGAUGACAGCUGCAGCCGAUCAGCAGGCUGUCAACAGCAACAGGACAUCCUCAAAAUGAAUAAACUAGGCUGUCAUGUCCGAACGAACAAAAUACAAGCGCAAAAAUGAGCUGUCGUGCGCUAUACAAGAGUUUCGGUGCCUUGUGUAAGCUGUAGCUACAGGGGGUAGACAAAAUGACUGAGACAGACAAAAUUCUGUCAAUUUUUGAAUAGUCAGAACUUCACGAAAAAUGAAUCAAUUUUGAUGAAACCGGUUUCAUUUUACUGGAAAACUAUUUUAGUUUCCAAAAUUUACCAGGGAGUUUGACGGGACCAACGGACACCGGAAAUAUUUCGAAUUUUAUGAGUGUGUGUCGAAAUGUGCAUUCUUGCAACGCUUAUAACUUUUUCUAGCAUCUUGUUUCUUAUAGGGUAAUAUGUUUAGAAUGAACUAGAAUUCAUUCCGAGUUCAUUGGUACCCAAAGGUUGAAAAUCCGUCGAGAAACCACCAAAAUUGGAAUUAAUUAUGUUUUUUUCAGUUUUUUUGCUGUUGGGUACAUAUAACAGUACAUAUAACCGAUAAUAACCAAUAUUUUAAAAAUCAAUUUUUGUUUUCACAAUAUUUUUUCAGUAAAGAAAUUUAAUUUUCUAACAUUUUCAGAUAAAAGUUCAGAUAAUUAUUUAGAAUUUAUCCAUUGAAAAUCAUUCUCCAUCUCUCGUCAUUAUUCGAGGGGCGAGGCAGUUUUCAUCUGAGUUUCUCUUAUGCUUGGGAGUAACUCUAAUUUACUCACCAUUACUCCGAAAUUUCCAGAUGAUUCACAUCUUCGAUUACCUUGAGAACAAGAAAAAUAUAUGAGCGGUGAGACCGGGUAACAUUCAUAUUUAUAUUCGCGGUGGGGAAAAGGUUUAAGGAUGGAUUUUGGAGACACGAGAUAAAUGGAUGGAGACACGAGAGUUACUCAGAUUUGCUUUUUGUUUUUCACGUUUUCUCAGAAAAACUCAAAGUUUCUCACUUUCAUGUGAGUUGCUCUUUUACUUGGGAGUUACUCUAAUUUACUCAAUAUUACUCCGAAAUUCUCAGAUGAUUCACAUCUUCGAUUACCUUGAAAGUAAGAAAUAUAUAUGAACGGUGGGACCGAGCAGCGGUGGGAAAAAUAUUUAAGGAUGGAUAUUCAGAGACACGAGAGUAACUCAGAUUUGCUCUUUAUUUUUAAGAUUUCCUCAGAAAAACUCGGAAAACCUCAAAUUUACUCACUGUCUUACCCCUCGUCAUUAUUUAAAUAUGCUGAUUCAUAAGAAAGAGGUUUAAAUACUUCAAACCUUUUCAAAUGUUAGUCCAGAUGAAUUUUCAAAAAAAUGUUUACAAAUUCGCUUCGUUCACUAAGGCCUACACAGUACACACCCACAAAGUUUUAUUAAAUUCUGCUAGGGUGCCCAAGGAAAAUGGUACGCAACAAGUGAAAAAACUGUCAAAAACAACAUCCAUACUUAAUUAAUUCAUAUCUCGAUGGUUCUUCGACAGAUUUUUAACCUUUGGGUACCAAUGAACUCGGAAUGAAUUCUAGUUUAUUCGAAACAUAUAAACCUAAAAGAAACAAGAUGUCAGAGAAAGUUCUAAGCGUUGCUAGAAUCCACAUUUUGACACACACUCUCAAAAUCCGGAUUAUUCCCGGUGUCCGUUGGUCCCGUCAAAUCCCUUAGUGAU